AUAAAAAUGCCUAAAAAUAUUUUUAUGUGAAGUAUAUAGCAUGUCAUAACUCAAGACAUCAAUUUUAUAAAAGUAUUUAAUGUUAACUGUAACAAACUGUACUUAUAGUUAUAGUACAGAUUAUCUGUUUUAAAAAUAAAUACAAUAAAUAAAACCUCUCUGUCACUGCACUAAUUUAGAAUGUUUUCUGCUGUACAGAAUCAUGGCAAAUGCAGUGACAGAAAACAGUCUAGCCCCUUCAGACUCUGCGUUCAUUGAAAUGGACAUCACACGAUCUCUUGAUUAAACCAAUACAAUUAUACAAGAGCAAAUAUCAAGUGGAUAAAUUAUUAUUAUUAUUUUUUUAAUUCAGGUCUGAAGGGGCUAGUAGAAGAUUAUCAUUUGGUACUGAAUUUGUAUUAUAGAUGCAAAAUAUUGGAGUACCAUUGUAAAAAUGCACCAGGACCAAACCCAAUUUAUUUGCAGUCAUUCGCUGUUCUGUUAUUGUUGCAUCAGCAGCCAAUCUAUAUCAGUACCAUGUUCAAAUACAUCUCAUUCUGUUUGAACGAAAUGAACUAAAUGAUUUAGGUGAAGCUGUGUUUUACAAAUCUGGAACCCUUCAUAUUACACACCACCAAAAAUAAAGAAAAUGUUGAAUGUUUGUGAGGGAAACUUUGACACUCUAUAGUUCAACGGUGAUCCAUUCUGUUGAUGGAGGGUAAAGAUUAUCAUUGCUAUGAGGACCAUCAUCAGGUUACUGAAAAUGAGAAGGUGGAAAAGUAAGACUUGGGGGAGGCCGGGGGGUGGUUCCCUCCUCCUUUCGCUUGCGGGAGCUUGAACUCUUUUAAGUCGGCCACCACACCAUGGCUAAUGGCCCCCGCUGAGCCUGCUGUCUCACUCCCGGCAUCAAGCCCAUCGUCCCUAAAUCAAACCAUAGAAAAUUGGGCUUAAAAUAUUGGGGAGAGGCCCCCCAAAAGAGACCCAAAAGCUGCAUCUGUCGCCGGCUUACAUGAAAGUUGAGCUCAUGAGGAGCAGUGGUCAUAUCAGUCCUCAUUCGCAGUAGAUCUAAGAUGAAAAAGGUUGAGGCUUGUUCCUCUUUAGCUUUGCUUGUACAAUGUUUCAUAGAGCAGGAUCUUGUGGACUGUUGGAGAAAUAGGCGCUGUUCGAUACAUUUUCUGAUGGAUGUGACAUGCUAGUGGUCUUGAGCGAGCUAAGAAAGCAUUAUUGUGACAGCCAGGAUGUCAGUUCAGGACCUUUGGAGAAGUCGGGGUCAUGGUAAACAAUCAUGCCAGCACACAAGUGGGUUUUAGCGUGCCCCUUUCAUUCACGUCCAGAGAAAAGUGCCCCUCCCCUCAGCACACAGCUUCAAUUCCUCCGGCUUCCCGAGGGAAAAUACUGCCUUUCUCUAAAUAAACCCACUAUAUAUCUCUCUCUUUCACCCUCUCUCUCUCAUACAAACAUACACACACUCCAGUAGGAGUGCAAAGCUUUGCAGGAUGUGACCUCGGCUCUCCUUUAGGUAAACCGGCACUCCUGGCUAUGCGCAAGACCUGUGACUUCUUUUCUCAGCUUGAUCCUACUGGGAGAAGGCAGGAGAUGCAUAUGUAAUCCUGAUGUGUGCGUAUGUGUGAAAAAGAAAGAGUGAGGGAGUACUUUUUUUUUCUUGGACCUUAUUUAUUAAAUGCUGAUUUUACUAUGUAAAGGAGCAAAGUGCAUAUAGCUGAAGCUCUUUUUCUUUUUUAAUAUGUAUUAACAGAAUGUUAUGUAUUAUGUAUGUAUAAUGUAUUAACAGCUGGAGCAAGGGCUACAUAUGAUUCAAGCUGGGUUAUAAACAAUAAUAACUAAUUUAUGAUAUGUAUGUAUCAACAGCCUCUUUUAUCAUGCUUACAUCAUGUGGAACCAGGAUAAAGGAAGACUUUAUUUUGUGAAGAAGUGAAUAUUAUAAUCACAAUAUACAUUCAGUGUAUGAUGAAUUAUGUUGAAUUAAUAUAAAAUAAUAUAAUAUAUACAAAUUUUAUACAAUAUAUCAGUUGUGACUAUGAUAAUAAAGUAAAAACAAACAGUGCUUCUGUGAAUGCAAAAAUGUUUAUUGUUAGUUCGGUAUGAACAAAUUACCAUCAUAUCUUACUUUAUUGAAGAAAAAAUGGAAACAAUGCACUGAAAUAUUGCUCAUGCAUUAUUUUCAAUUUAUAGAGAGAGAGAGAGAGAGAGAGGAAACAUAAAUAUAUUCUACUAUUAAUUAUGGGUACAGCAGAUAAUUUCAAUUUAAUGUUUUUGUAUUAGGUUUAUUUAUUUUUAUUUAGCCUAUUUUUUAUUUAAUCAAUAAAUAUACCAUAUUUAAUCGCAAGCUUUAAAUAGAUAUUUAAAAAGGCUAAGAAAAGAAGUUAACAUUCAAUUUUUGUUGCAUAGGAAUAAAAACAUAAUUGGACUGCAAUUAAUAAACAUUGUAAAAUGUAAAAUGCAUUAAAAAUACAAUUCAUGGUAUUAAAUGAAGAUUUUAUGUCGAUGGGGGUCAAUGUUUAUUUAAUAUGGAUUUUUUUUUUUUAAAUACGAAUAUUGAAUGACGUGAACAAGAGUUGAAUUCUAGCAUUUAUUCAGACAUGUUAUUUUGACUCCAGCUGACAUGCAAAUAUUGUGCUAAUACGAGAUGUUUUAUUUACCUCAGGUUUGUUUAUAUCAGCUUUGUUUACCUGUUCUGCUUUUAAUGACACUAAAGAAAAACCAUUAGGUCAGUACUGGACUUUAGGAGUCAUCUCUUAAACCAACAAAUCUUAAUGCGUUCAUACAUAGUAGCCUAUAGUUGUCAGUUGUAAGAAUUUUAAUUGUGACAUUUACUAUCCUCAGUAAGACUUUGAGAAGCGGAUGGAACACAGACAAACAAGGGUCAGUCAAUUACCAUUUUUUUGUCAUAAGGUAUACAAAAUACCACAAUGCCUUAAAAAUAUUUUAUUGUUAUAAUUAAAGAUGAUUUAUUAAACCAUA
ensembl:lncRNA